rnacentral:rRNA from 1 species
GGAGUUAGGAAAUGUAAGUUUGAGAAUACCAAAUUUACUUGACAAAAGCUCCAAAGGAAGCCACGGCUAACUCUGUGCCAGCAGCCGCGGUAAUACAGAGGUGGCGAGCGUUGUUCGGAAUUAUUGGGCGUAAAGAGCACGUAGGUGGAUUUGUAAGUCAGAUGUGAAAGCCUUCUGUUCAACGGAAGAAUUGCAUCUGAAACUACAAACCUUGAGUAUAGGAGGGGAGAGUGGAACUUCUG